AUACGGAGGAUGCGAGCGUUAUCCGGAUUUAUUGGGCGUAAAGGGAGCGUAGGUGGGAUAUUAAGUCAGCUGUGAAAGUUUGGGGCUCAACCUUAAAAUUGCAGUUGAUACUGGUUUCCUCGAGUACGGUACAGGUGGGCGGAAUUCGUGGUGUAGCGGUGAAAUGCUUAGAUAUCACGAAGAACUCCGAUCGCGAAGGCAGCUCACCGGGCCGGAACUGACACUGAUGCUCGAAAGUGCGGGGAUCGAACAGGAUUAGAUACCCUGGUAGUCCGCACAGUAAACGAUGAAUACUUGUUUUCGGCGAUAUAAUGUCGGAGGCAAAGCGAAAGCGAUAAGUAUUCCACCUGGGGAGUACGCCGGCAACGGUGAAACUCAAAGGAAUUGACGGGG
rnacentral:rRNA from 1 species